rnacentral:rRNA from 1 species
AACGGUAACAGGGUGCUUGCACCGCUGACGAGUGGCGAACGGGUGAGUAACGCAUCGGAAUGUACCGUGUAAUGGGGGAUAGCUCGGCGAAAGCCGGAUUAAUACCGCAUACGCCCUGAGGGGGAAAGUGGGGGACCGUAAGGCCUCACGUUAUACGAGCAGCCGAUGUCUGAUUAGCUAGUUGGUGAGGUAAGAGCUCACCAAGGCGACGAUCAGUAGCGGGUCUGAGAGGAUGAUCCGCCACACUGGGACUGAGACACGGCCCAGACUCCUACGGGAGGCAGCAGUGGGGAAUUUUGGACAAUGGGCGCAAGCCUGAUCCAGCCAUGCCGCGUGUCUGAAGAAGGCCUUCGGGUUGUAAAGGACUUUUGUUCGGGAGGAAAUCCCGCUGGUUAAUACCUGGCGGGGAUGACAGUACCGGAAGAAUAAGCACCGGCU